AUGCUAUAUAAUAUUCUGUUGUCUGGAUAUAGUUUAUUUAUCCAUUUGCCUACUGAAGGACAUCUUGGUUGCUUCCAAGAUUUGGCAAUAAUGAAUAAAGCUGCUAUAAACAUCUGUGUGCAGGCUUUUGUGUGAAAUAGCUUUUCAACUCAGUUGGGUAAAUACCAAGGAGUGUGAUUGCUGGAUCAUAGUAAGAAUAUAUUUAAUUUUGUAAGAAACUGCCAAACUACCUUCCAAAAUGGCUGUACCAUUUCACAUUCCCACUAGCAAAGAAUGAGAGUUCCUAUUGCUCUGCAUCUUUGUCAGCAUUAAAUCUUGUCAGUAUUCUGGAUUUUGGCCAUUGUAAUGAAUUUGUAAUGGUAUCUUAUUAUUUUAAGUUUCAUUUCCCUGAUGCCAUAUGAUGUGCAACAUUUUUUCAUAUGUUUAUUUGCCAUCUGUAUAACUUCUUUAAUGAGAUGUCUGUGAAAUUCUUUGGCCCAUUUGUUUAAUGUUUAUCUAUUUUUGAAAGAGCACAAGUGAGGGAGUGGCAGAGAGAGAAGGGGACAGAGGAUCCAAAGCAGGCUCUGUGCUGACAGCUGUGAGACCGAUGUGGGGCUUGAACUCAUGAACCUGAGCUGAAGUCAGAUGCUCAACCAACUCAGCCAUCCAUGUGUCCCUCUUAGGCCCAUCUUUAGUCAGAUUUAAAAAAAAUUUCUUAUUAUUGGAUUUUAAGAGUUCUUUGCAUAUUUUACAUAACAAUCCUUCAUCAGAUGUGUCUUCUGCAAUUUAUUUUUCAGUCUGUGGCUUGUCUUUUUCUUCUAUAAUAAUACUUUUUAAAAUAAAUAAAACACACUCUAAAUAGCACCUUCCACUUCUGCUCCUCUUCGUGUUUUUUCCUCUCCUAGCAUAUGUAUCUAUACCUGCACAUUUCCUGUGGAGGAUAAUGCAGUCAAAUUCCGCACAUUAUCAAUGGUAAUCAGUAAAUAAACAUGAUAAUCAUAACGGAAUGCUGUGGGAAUAUUUAUGAGUAUUAUUAAUAGGAAUUUAGGUAAGUCAGUAACUAUAACAAAAUGUGUCAUUGCCGUCUUGUUUGCUAAUGUUAAUUAUCCAGCAGAGAAUAAGAAAGAGCACAACACAGCUCUAAUGCUGAAGAGAUUGUUGUAAUGUUGUGACCUCACAUAUCAUUUGGUUGUAAAAAACUGAAGGGAUCAAACAGAGAUGUUUUAUGGGAUAUCCUGAAAAGCUAAAAAAGUAUUCCAGGAAAAAGAAACAAUAAACAGACAUUCUGGAAGCAUGAGUUGUUUCUAUCACUUACAAUGAAGAUAUCCCACUCAAUAAAGAUUGAAUUCAUUAAUGAGGACAACAAAUAUGAAGAUACAUGUAAGUAACAUGGUGUGUGUUCAACAUAAUUAAAUCUAAUAUUAAAAUGUUAUGAUCUUUACAACUUUCAGUUUCAGUGGGUAACCUUUAUUUGACUUUGUCUUCAAAUUCUGGGAAUCCUUUACUCUAGCCACUCAAGCACUUUCUACGAUAUUUAAGACAUACUUCAAAUCUAAGAUUACAUGAAAUCAUUUGCUUUAUUUCGUAAGACAAAAUAUUGAGACAUUAUCUUUGAAGAAACACAGUAAUAAGUCAUAGUUACAUCUAAUGAGUUGUUAUUGAAUUUUUACAGGCAAAUUAAAGAUCUCCUUUUAUGCAGCUAGAAAUGCUGAUCUUACCCAUUAUGUUAGCUUGCCAUUGAUAUCUUAUCUUAUUGACAAAAAUGUAAAAGUGAGAAGCAUUAUGUCAGUUCUGUGUUGAACUACCGAAUGUGUAAAAUGUAAAAGAAGUAGACAUUGUUGGCUAGGAAUAAUGUUUAUUAUUAUUAUUUUUAUUCCUGAAAAAGGCUGCUUAAACAUUUGAAAUGUGUAUAAAACCUUGUUAUUCUUUGAUUUGUAUCCUCAUGGCCUAUUCCUCUCAGGAACUGUCAGUUUCUUGUGUGUGUGCAUGCAAUAUAUUUAAUUUCUUAUUUUAUUUUUUUUUAAUUCAUAUAAAGUGGAGAAAAUAGGUCUGGAUCUGUUUGAUCAAUUCCUUCAGGUGCUAGUCUUCUUUAAUUGCAGUAUUGAUUGCAGCAGGUGUAAUGGGACCUGUGACUUCAUAUGACACCAUGUCAGCCUUCAGAGGAAACAAAAGCUUUGGAAGAAAGUGGUUCAGGUUACUAUUUAUCUCAUGACCCUAUGAAAGUUGACAUGUGUCAUUAAUAGUGACAUGCCAAAGAUUCAGAUUUCUUUGGCAUAGCCUCUGCAAGUUAAGACUAUUCUCUGAAUCUUUAUAGUUUUGAAAUCUUUCCAUGUACAUUUCCCAUGAGAAUUUUAGUAUUUCUUGAGUUCAGCAAGGUCAGAUGAAAAGCAAUUUCCCCCCCUUUCUUCUGGUUUCUGGUUGACUUUUUUGUUUUAGAUAACAACCGGUGGAAGAAUUGUGAAAUUCUAAGAGCUCAUAAUUUAGUAAGGGAAAUAAGCAAUGGAUACAAAUAGUGGCAACCCAAGAUGGUCUAUUAGUGGCAUAUCUGAGACGAAGGCAGUUGGGAAAAACCAUUUCGGAAAGUGGACGCAGGAGGCUGGUGGAUCUGUCUCAGCCACUUUUUAGCUGUUUCCUCACUGGUGAUUUGAUCAAUAAAUAUAAUCUAUAUAAACUUCAGUUUCUUCAUGUGAAAGAUGGGACUAAUAAUAAUAUUCACUUAAUUAGGCUGUUUGUCAGUAGAAAACAAGACAGUAUAUAUCUCUAGAUAAUCAUACGCACUCAAAAAAAUGUACAUGAAACAUAAUGCCUGCAGUAGAAGAAGAAGUUACUUUUACCUAGAAUAUUCAGAGAAGAAGCCAAGAAAAAAAGAUAACAUAACUAUAAGGGGUGUAAGGUUUCAAAGACUGAGAUGACGGGAAAUGCCUAAGUGAUGGUUAUCAGAGGUGAAAAUGUGACACAUGACCACAGGAAAGUGAAUAAACUAGUUUGAGAGAUAUAUAAUGCUUCUGUAUUUCAAUGCCUCUUAAACUUUUCAAACCAAAAGACUCCUAAGGGCACAGGAAAACAUCUGUCCCUAAGGAAGGGAACACCACCAAUACUUCUUCCAAUGCCACCUAGUAACAAACAUGUAUGAAUGUUUGCAAUUGACUUUGCUCUAUGCUUUACAUUCACUGCCUCAGUUUGUUGGCAAAAUAACUCUUGGAGAUUGCAUGAGUCUUGUUGCAUGAGAAAAGGAACAUGAGGAUCACAAUUAGUAAGUUAGUAGGUGAUGGAACUGGGGACUCAGGAGUAUGACUACAGGGCUCUCUUUCUAAACCACUGUAUCCUGCCUCAGGAGACUUGAUUCAGGGUGUCCAAUUUUUUUGAAGUCUCUUGUUUUAUUAUUAUUAUUUUUAAACCAUGAAAAUGUUGAACCCAAUUCCAUAAUAUAUACAUUUAUUUUGAUAUAAUGUUUUAAAAUACUUUCUGUGCAUAUGUUUUCAUCUAUCUGUUCAGUGGGUUACACAGACUUGAUUUCAGAAGCUCUGGCAAUUUUCAAGUGUCUCUUUUCAAGGAUAUUAAGAUAUAACCUUGAAAGAGCUUCUAGCAAUUUUUAAUUUGCUUGUUUGAUGGUGCUUUUCACUAUAUAAUUCCCAGCCAAGGCUUUUGCUGCUUUGUUUGAAAAAUGAAAUAAAAAAUCUAAUGCUCUUUCUUCAA